rnacentral:lncRNA from 1 species
AUGCCCCAAGGAGAACAAAGGCUACUAUUAUAACGACAGUUCAGACACAUGCGUGCUUUAUACCAAGGAAGGAAGCUGUGGCCUGUAUCCUUACAUAUUCAAAUCCGAGGAGGAAUGCAAUUGGGAGUGCCGAACAAGUACUAUCUGCAACCUUCAGUUAGAUAAAGGAAACAAAUGUCAUAAGAGUGGCGAAUUGAUGUAUUACUACGACAGCACCAAAAGUCAGUGUGACCUUUUCUUUUACAAAGGCUGCGGUGGCAACGCAAACAGAUUUAACUCUGUACGACAGUGCGAGGUAAUUUGCAGAGGCAAGCGAUGUAUAACUCCUCCGAACGACGACGACGAUAUUUG